AUGAAACACUCCUACGGGAGGCAGCAGUGGGGGAUAUUGCACAAUGGAGGAAACUCUGAUGCAGCGACGCCGCGUGAGUGAAGAAGUAUUUCGGUAUGUAAACUCCUUUCGUUAGGGACGAAGCCACGCUUUUUUUGGGUGUGGUGACGGUACCUUUGUUAAGAAGCACCGGCUAACUACGUGCCAGCAGCCGCGGUAAUACGUAGGGUGCGAGCGUUGUCCGGAAUUACUGGGCGUAAAGAGCUCGUAGGUGGUUUGUUGCGUCGUCUGUGAAAUUCCGGGGCUUAACUUCGGGGUGGCAGGCGAUACGGGCAUAACUAGAUUGCUGUAGGGGAGACUGGAAUUCCUGGUGUAGCGGUGAAAUGCGCAGAUAUCAGGAGGAACACCGAUGGCGAAGGCAGGUCUCUGGGCCACUACUGACGCUGAGAAGCGAAAGCAUGGGGAGCGAACAGGAUUAGAAACCCCUGUAGUCCGAAGUUC
rnacentral:rRNA from 1 species